UUUACUAAUUGCCAAAUAUAUAUAUAUAUAUAUAUAUCAACCAUUAGACGUAAUCAUUGGUGCUUUCUAGGUAAGAUGUGUCAUGAUCAUGUUUCUAGGUGUAUAGCGAGCAAGCAAUCUUACAUUAUUAUAAUCAGAAAGAUGUUAGGUUUUUGGAAGAAUUUGAGCAAUUUUAAUGGAAGUUGAAAUGGGAAUGUAAAAUGUUUGUGUUAUAAUAUAUUCAAGUUAAAAUUUUAAUAAGAAGAAUAUUGAUGCAAGCCAUGCCAAGAGAGUAAUUCUGUGUAGAGGUGAGAAAUUUGGAUUCACACCGGACAUUUUGUUGAACUCAGAAAAACAAAGUUGUAUGUAUUUUGUUAAAAAAAUUGAAACACCUUUUAUUGCGAAUGUAUGUAAGAGUACAAAUGCAUGGAAAAAGAAAAGGGAUCAGUUUGUACAAAAUAGAAUCUAUAGAACAAUUAUAAGAGCUCUUCGAAGUCGAAGCACAAAGAGAAACACGUAAUCUAAUGUGGGACCAAACAUUUUAGAAGUCUCUCUCCAAACCUCUAAACACUGUUAUUCCUCUCGUUCCAAAGAUCGCAGAAAAAACCGGUCCUUUUCAUGUGAAGGCGGAUGGUGGAGGAAAUUUUUGAUCAUAAUCUAUUCACUAUAUGGCUUGGCCAUGGUUCUUUAAGAUAUGAACAGUGACCUACUGCGACAUGUUAAAUUGUCAGUCCAUGAGUUACUUUACCCAAAUAAAAACUGGAAAAGCUUUUUUUUACUAGUAGUUUUCAUGUUGCCAGAUAUGUGAAGUUACUUUUUCAUGAACUUAGAACUUAUAAUCAAUGAUAAUUGGUUACUCACGAGUAUUCUUCCUGACUCUGAAUCUGAUAAAUAUCUUCUUGGCUUGGCCAGAUAUACCCACCAAUUAAUGUCCUCCCUUCAUUGUCUCGUCUCAUGAAGGUAAUUUUGUUCCGUAUUGUUUCAUGAUAUUUUAGAAGCAUAGACUAAUCCAUAAUGUGUACUUAAAGAACAUCCUCUAUGACUGCAGAGUGCCAUUGGUGAGGGAAUGACCCGUAGGGAUCAUGCUGAUGUAUCCAACCAGGUAAGCUUUCUUUGUUAUAGUUUUACAGGUCCAUCUUUGAGCCAGCGAUAGAAGUUAUUUGUCUUACAAAUCUAUGAUCCCGCAAACCUGCAGCUCUAUGCAAAUUAUGCAAUUGGGAAGGAUGUUCAGGCCAUGAAAGCCGUGGUUGGAGAAGAAGCACUCUCUUCUGAGGAUCUGGUAUAUUAUAUUAUAUCUUUCUUUCAUUUUCCAUGCAAAUUGUUUUACUUGAAAAAUUCCAUCCUGAUAACAACAAACUAACACAACUUUCUGAACCAGCUGUAUUUGGAGUUUUUGGACAAAUUUGAGAGGAAGUUUGUCACUCAAGGAGCUUACGAUACUCGAAACAUUUUCCAAUCACUUGACCUGGCAUGGACACUGCUUCGUAUUUUCCCUCGUGAACUUCUGCAUCGUAUACCUGCAAAGACUCUUGAUCUGUUUUACAGCCGAGAAUCUGCAAAUUGAAGAACCAAAGCUCUUAUAUACCCUUAAGAGGCCGCGUAGAUAGAUCAUAAUGAGCUUGGAG
rnacentral:lncRNA from 1 species